rnacentral:rRNA from 1 species
AGAGUUUGAUCCUGGCUCAGGACGAACGCUGGCGGCGUGCCUAAUACAUGCAAGUCGAACGAAACUUUCUUACACCGAAUGCUUGCAUUCACCGUAAGAAGUUGAGUGGCGGACGGGUGAGUAACACGUGGGUAACCUGCCUAAAAGAAGGGGAUAACACUUGGAAACAGGUGCUAAUACCGUAUAUCUCUAAGGAUCGCAUGAUACUUAGAUGAAAGAUGGUUCUGCUAUCGCUUUUAGAUGGACCCGCGGCGUAUUAACUAGUUGGUGGGGUAACGGCCUACCAAGGUGAUGAUACGUAGCCGAACUGAGAGGUUGAUCGGCCACAUUGGGACUGAGACACGGCCCAAACUCCUACGGGAGGCAGCAGUAGGGAAUCUUCCACAAUGGACGCAAGUCUGAUGGAGCAACGCCGCGUGAGUGAAGAAGGUCUUCGGAUCGUAAAACUCUGUUGUUAGAGAAGAACACGAGUGAGAGUAACUGUUCAUUCGAUGACGGUAUCUAACCAGCAAGUCACGGCUAACUACGUGCCAGCAGCCGCGGUAAUACGUAGGUGGCAAGCGUUGUCCGGAUUUAUUGGGCGUAAAGGGAACGCAGGCGGUCUUUUAAGUCUGAUGUGAAAGCCUUCGGCUUAACCGGAGUAGUGCAUUGGAAACUGGAAGACUUGAGUGCAGAAGAGGAGAGUGGAACUCCAUGUGUAGCGGUGAAAUGCGUAGAUAUAUGGAAGAACACCAGUGGCGAAAGCGGCUCUCUGGUCUGUAACUGACGCUGAGGUUCGAAAGCGUGGGUAGCAAACAGGAUUAGAUACCCUGGUAGUCCACGCCGUAAACGAUGAAUGCUAGGUGUUGGAGGGUUUCCGCCCUUCAGUGCCGCAGCUAACGCAAUAAGCAUUCCGCCUGGGGAGUACGACCGCAAGGUUGAAACUCAAAGGAAUUGACGGGGGCCCGCACAAGCGGUGGAGCAUGUGGUUUAAUUCGAAGCAACGCGAAGAACCUUACCAGGUCUUGACAUCCUUUGACCACCUAAGAGAUUAGGCUUUCCCUUCGGGGACAAAGUGACAGGUGGUGCAUGGCUGUCGUCAGCUCGUGUCGUGAGAUGUUGGGUUAAGUCCCGCAACGAGCGCAACCCUUGUUGUCAGUUGCCAGCAUUAAGUUGGGCACUCUGGCGAGACUGCCGGUGACAAACCGGAGGAAGGUGGGGACGACGUCAAGUCAUCAUGCCCCUUAUGACCUGGGCUACACACGUGCUACAAUGGACGGUACAACGAGUCGCGAGACCGCGAGGUUUAGCUAAUCUCUUAAAGCCGUUCUCAGUUCGGAUUGUAGGCUGCAACUCGCCUACAUGAAGUCGGAAUCGCUAGUAAUCGCGAAUCAGCAUGUCGCGGUGAAUACGUUCCCGGGCCUUGUACACACCGCCCGUCACACCAUGAGAGUUUGUAACACCCAAAGCCGGUGGGGUAACCGCAAGGAGCCAGCCGUCUAAGGUGGGACAGAUGAUUGGGGUGAAGUCGUAACAAGGUAGCCGUAGGAGAACCUGCGGCUG